AUGACAAGCGCUAGAGGAACCGUUGCUGCUUGGCUCCUCCGCUGUCUCAGGGUCGUCGCGCCACCACCAUGCUGUCGCGCUCCUAUUCUCCACGGCCCUCCACGGCUCAGCGCUGACGAGGACCGACGGGAUCCCCGCCACUGCUUCCUCCACCCAGCGGCGAGAGCUGUGCCCGCUCUUCACUACGCCGGCACACCACGCUGCUCAGAUCCGUCAUGGUGGAAACCCGAUACAGGUUUCCCUACAGAAGUUGAUGGGGGUUUCGAAGAUCUUCAAGCUGCUGAAGAUUUGGGAGAUUCGGAAGAUCUUUAA
rnacentral:rRNA from 1 species